rnacentral:rRNA from 1 species
UACACAUGCAGUCGAACGGAACUUCGGGUUUAGUGGCGGACGGGUGAGUAACGCGUGAGAAUUGCCUCUAGGUCGGGGACAACAACUGGAAACGGUUGCUAAUACCCGAUGUGCAGCAAAUGUGAAAGAUUUAUUGCCUAGAGAUGAGCUCGCGUCUGAUUAGCUAGUAGGUGUGGUAAUGGCGCACCUAGGCGACGAUCAGUAACUGGUCUGAGAGGAUGACCAGUCACACUGGGACUGAGACACGGGCCAGACUCCUACGGGAGGCAGCAGUGGGG